rnacentral:misc_RNA from 1 species
AACGCACGAGACCUGCGGACCUGCGGAGGGAUCAUUACAAAUCAUGGCGAACCUCGUGUUUCGCGAGGUUUUGCGUCCAUUAAAGUAUUUAAAACAUCCACUCUUAAAAAAUUUAUCUAAUGAUAAAAUAAAAAAGAUAACUUUUAACAAUGGAUCUCU